rnacentral:siRNA from 1 species
UGAACCAGAUACCACUGUCUGA